rnacentral:rRNA from 1 species
UACGUAGGGUGCGAGCGUUGCCCGGAUUUAUUGGGCGUAAAGGGCGCGUAGGCGGCCACGCACGUCCGUUGUGAAAUCGCCCGGCUCAACUGGGCGGGGUCGGCGGAUACGGCGUGGCUGGAGCAAGCUAGGGGCAAUGGAAUUCCCGGUGUAGUGGUGGAAUGCGUAGAUAUCGGGAGGAACACCAGUGGCGAAGGCGGUUGCCUGGAGCUUUGCUGACGCUGAGGCGCGAAAGCGUGGGGAGCGAGUCCGG